UUUUUAAUUGAAAGACGUAUGCAUUCAUUAUGAAUAUCAAUUAUUCAACUUUUUCUCCAAACUGGAAAGAACUAGAGGGAUUACAAUUAUUUUCCUUUACUCCCUUCUGCAAAGUACAGAAUGGAUUAUUGCGGGGGAAAUUAAGAACUGCCCUUUGUUCAAAGAAAAGAACAAUUUUAAUGCCAACAAUAUUCAUUCAAUUUCAUCAAUAUGUUGUCAGAAAAUUAUGUUGUAUUUGUCCGCUAUAUAAAGCUGUUAACCUUAUCACGUAUCAGCAUCCUUAAUGUGAGCUGAAUGCUUUUCCACAAGUAGUUCAAUCAGGGGGUUUUCCACAUCAGAACCAGGCUGAGUCUUGUCACGGCAGACUGGAAUCUUUUUGUCAGCUGUGACAACUAUAACCUCCUCAUUGCGGGUCACAAGCUCAUUUGCAACAACCAUAUGCAUCUUGUACUUUUUAAGUGCCAUAUCAGCCUUCUCCAAAAGAAUCUUUGAAUCUGUCUCCAGCUGUUUGAGUCAAGUAGGGAACAAUCUCAGAACCAACCAGAAAGUACAUCCCAGGUUGAUACCUAAGGUAAAAAUAACACUUCAAUAAAUAAAAGUCAAUUUAUCAAGUUAAGAACCUCUUCCUUCUACGCUGGGUCUACAGAGAUAUCCUUCAAUAGAAUCAUAUAGCCAUAACCCCUCUAGUCAAAUUUCAAACGCUGAUUCAAAGUUCUCUCACUACAAAAAAGGUACAAUUUCAUUUCCCAACUAGUGGACUAUAAAUACAUCCUUGGCCUUCUUUUAAGAUACUGGGAGCACUGAAAGAUCAUAUUCUUUAAGUGUUUUACAUUGUCCUCUCUAUUAAUUGAUCUGGGAAUGAGCAAGAAUGAAGGAACCAGACAAUCUUUUGUGUUUAAGAAAUAUCUACCAAAUGAAACCAAAUUAAUUUCCAGCAAAUGAGACAGCUGAAACUCUUUUAAGGGACCUUAUAUCAUUUAUAUUUUGGAGACAGAGGGUAGGUCCAACUACAACAGUUGUCAUUUAACAGAACUUAUUAUGAUUUAUGGUCUAUGGUCAAGUCAAAGCUCUCUGAAUCUCCAAACAGACAUUAAGAAUAAGAUGGCACACCAUCUAACCUUGAAUGAUAUGCAGAAGGCCAUGGGAGCCCACUCUUUCCUCAACACCGAAAGCAUUUUUGGAGCUUGCACAAGUCGCAUAUCCAGAGGGCCAGAUGCUGAUUGAAUUUUGUGCUCUGCCUGCAAUUAUUAUUAAGCUAUUUAAUACAAUAAAGAGUCAGAGAAUAGCUUUUUCAUCUUCCAAUGACUUAAUCAUGAAGGUCCUGAAAAGAAUCACUUGACACUUCAUAAUUUUUAGUCUAUCUCAACAGACAGAAAAAUUUCCUGCAUAGAACAGGGACUUCAAAAGACUAAUCAUUAGUCAAUUUCAAUAUAUGUUUCUAGGUAUGUAAUGCUAGCAUGAGAAUGGGAGUAUAUGGUGACUGUGCCUAUUCUGGAACAAACAACUUGUUCACCACUAGCAUCUGAUAAACAUCAAUUUAUUGGGAUAAUCGAACAACAAAUCCAGGAAAUAAACAAGGAAAAUGUUUCUGAGCUGCUUAAAUUACAUGGCUAUCCUUCAAUUUGGAUGUUCAUAAUGUGAGAUGGAUGUACAGCGACUUAAUUUUUUUUUUUAAAUAACUUUUUUUUUAUUAUUUUGCUCUUAACUUUCAAAUGAUUAAUCUUGCAAAUAAGGAUACCCUUUAAUGAGCAUCCUUGCGGUAUCUAAUAAGAAAGGCUGAACCAAUUUAAGCAGAGCAUAAACCUUCUUGCAAUCAAUAUAGAAAGAAAAGCAGUGAGAAAUGUUUCAGGCUCACAGUGGUCUCCAGUUUUCUAGGACCAAAUAUGGUUGGAACUAAUUAAGAGAGCAUUAAAAGAAAUUCUUUUUUAAAAAUCAAAAAGUUCAACUAUUACCAUAUCUUUCCAAGGGACGUAAAAGUCAGACACUGCAGCUGCAAGAUAAAACAUUGCAUGUGGCCCAAGAUUCCUCAUUGAUAUUGCAAUCAUUUGUAAGAUCUGCAAAAGAGACUACAUGUUAAUUCAAUAUAUAAAACAGUGUCUAUAGCAGCAUGUAAGAAAAAAACUCUGCGUGCUGAAUUGAGAAUAGAAAAAUGAAAUGGAUAAGAAAUAUGUCAAUAAAUGAUUGAAACAUCAAAAACAAAGGAAGAAGAAGCUCAACUAGACCAUUGUUCAAGUGAUGACUCCCUGAAAAAUGUAUGAGAAUCAACAAGUCCAAUUAGUAGUUGGCUAUUCUCAGGUUGAACUAGCCAAUCAGAUUCAGAAUUCAAAAUGCCACAGCAAUGUGGCAAUUAUGGAACAAAAGCUUCGAAUAAAAUGAAUGCAUAAAAGACAAAUUUAAAAGCUAACUGAAGCUAACCUGAAGAUAUUCAAAAAUGGUUGUAAAAGGAAGUUUUAACAGGUGACCUGCUGCUACAGCCUGCAAUAAAACAAAAGUGGGAAGUGUCUCACUGUUAUUAAGCUAAAUUUUUGCAUCACAUCAUGCACAAAGAGAUAGAAAAGCUAAUUGAGCAAAAGUCUAGAACAUUAGAUACAAGCAAGCUAUCAAAAAGUCAUACAGCAUGAUGAUCAUUAAUGGCUCUCCUCACUGCUUCAGAACAUGAUUGCCGCACUUGAACAUUGGAGCCGUUAGUGAACUCAAAACACUCAAGCAGUGGAUCCUCAGGAAGAGAUCGACAGUAUGGCUGGCAACUUCCCCUGCAUAAGAAGGCAAUAAAUUAACCUCAUUCUUGAUUUUUCUGCAGUGCACCUUGAACUUUCUACAAGAUACAGUAGCAGAGACCAGGCGCAAGCGCAUUCAACAUUACUAGAAAUGAAUGAUAAACACACAGUUUCUUCGAAACCCACCUCCUGUAUAAAAAUAUAACUGCAUAUUCAGCCUUGAUAAAAUACCUACGAUACAGUGAUUGAACAAAUUCAAUCCAUGUCCAAUUGAAAAUACAGACUAAAUGAAGAAUUCUCCAUCUGAUAAGGUUUAAAGUGAAUACUCGGUGGAUGUGGCUCCUCUGUGACCUGAGCUGAAGUUAUCAAUAUAACGAACACAACGCUGUUCCAGGGGAACAGUAGUACCACCAGAAGUCACACACACAACCCUCCUAGCACUUCCAUUUCCUUGUGAAGCAGAAUUGAGUUGAAUGAAUUCCUUCAAUUUGUUUGCGAUACCAACUCUGUCUCGUAGAGGAGGAGCAGAAUCAAAAAACGAUUUGAUUUCUGCAUCAGUCACUAAUCCAUUUGUUGAUUCCAUUAGAAAUCCCCAAAACAAAAGUAGGAACCGAGGUGGGAUUACGAGGGCCUGCUGCAGUUGAAUUUAUAGGAAUGGGAAGAUUAGAAGCUUUUUAUUUUGAUUAAAUUAUUAUUAUUAUUAUUAU
rnacentral:misc_RNA from 1 species